UACGUAGGGUGCAAGCGUUUAAUCGGAAUUACUGGGCGUAAAGCGUGCGCAGGCGGUUUUGUAAGUCUGUCGUGAAAUCCCCGGGCUCAACCUGGGAAUUGCGAUGGAGACUGCAAGGCUAGAAUCUGGCAGAGGGGGUAGAAUUCCACGUGUGAGCAGUGAAAUGCGUAGAGAUGUGGAGGAACACCGAUGGCGAAGGCAGCCCCCUGGGUCAAGAUUGACGC
rnacentral:rRNA from 1 species